AUGUGUAAAUAAUAUAGUUGAAUAAGAAAGAAACCUGUACUUUCUUCUUAAAAAUCCUCUCUUCCAGUUGCUUGCUGGGCAGAAGAAAAGUGCUCCUUUCUGGACAUUUGAAUAUUAUCAGACAUUUUUCGAUGUGGAUACGUACCAGGUUUUGGACAGAAUCAAAGGAUCUGUAUUUCCAGUGCCAGGGAAAAACUUUGUGAGACUCCAUAUUCGGAGUAAUCCUGAUCUUUAUGGUCCAUUUUGGAUAUGUGCCACACUAGUCUUUGCUGUUGCAAUUAGCGGUAACCUUUCAAAAUUCUUCAUCCAUCUGGGUAAACGCGAUUUUCACUACGUGCCAGAUUUCCGCAAAGGUUCGUAAAAUUAUUUCAAACAGUUUGUAUCUGUUCGGUUUUUAUCCAGUGAAAGAGUACAGUAGCGGGGAUUGCGGUGAAACAGUUUGAGGAAGGCUGCAGCUUUCUUUGUAGCCAGAAUGUUGAAAGGCAGUCAGGAACUCUGGGAAGGCUUCUCAGGGAAGGC